AAAUAGCUUAAUGGUAGAGCAUGGCCUUACCAAGGCUGAGGUUGAUGGUUGGAGUCCCUCUUU
rnacentral:tRNA from 1 species